ensembl:snoRNA
AAGACUAUACUUUCAGGGAUCAUGACUAUAGUUCAUUACUAGAGAAGUUUCUCUUGAUUAUGUAAAACACCGGAAGCCAUGAGGAGGAGGCACAGCAUCCUCUCCUGAGCAUGAAGCUGGCUCUUGGUGUUGCUUUGCUGCAACUGCCUUUUGCCACUGAUGAACGUUCUUGCUGUCUUUUGGGGGAGCAAGAGGAGAGGAUGCAGUCUGAGUGGAU